CUGAAUGUCCAUUCAUUAUAGUUUUAUUCAUUUUGAGGUGUGCUUCAGUGAUUAGCACUUACAUGCAAAACUAUUCAUGCAAACUGCAGUCCUAAGCCAUUGUAACAUCCGAUUACCCAAAUACAUUCUCAUAGAUCUUUAGUUGCUCAGUAUCUUCCUGGUCUGUUUGUUUUGGAACCAUCUUCAGUAGCACAGAGUGGUCUUUAACUGAACCGAACUGCAUUCAUAGGUAGGGUGUUGAGAUGGAUCAGGCGAAUAAAAAAAAAAAAAAACUGAAGAAAAGGACAGGAUUGCUCCUGUAUGUGUACAGUUAUGUGUACAGUGUAAAAAGGAAUAAAUAAAUAAGUAUUAGUAACGUGCUGGGUGAAUGAAAUGGAAAGCAGUUGACGGAAGGAUGCAGGUUGCUCCUGAGGUCACAGAGUACAUCAAGUGAAGGCCGUAGAUUACACGAGAGCGACUCGCACUCUUAUUGGUUCCCUCUGACAGAAAGGGGCGGGGCUUAAGCAGUAAAUCCGCCUAGAAAAAGUGGGGACAGUGUCCAGAGCCGGGGAGGAUGAUGUUUGUGAGUCUUAUCCUUAGCGCUGCGCUCGGACGGAGCCAGAUGGGCUGCAAAUCCAGCGCAGUUGCCAUCUUUUCCGGCGGUCUGAAUGGAAAUGUGGUGCAAAUAAACCGGGUUAGGCCUAAAAAAAAGAGAGAAAACACGUAUACUACCGCACUAAAGUGUGUAUGAGUUGUAGUAUUAAAAGACACCGUUGAUUCGGGUAGUGUGUGUUGAUAGGGCACGUUAUUUCACUCUCGCCUGGUCCAAAAAAAAGCGCGUCGCCUCUGAAAGUUGGAGACAGCUCGGAAAAACAUUGGAAAAGCCUGGAGAACAUGUCGAGGGUCGCUUUGAAGAACGGCGUCUUGAUGAUCUGAUCAGAAAGGGCGCAUAAACCUCCAGAGGCGAGCCGGUGAACAACACUAGUGAAAGAGGCAGCAAGCUGGAAAAAAGCCACUGACGGCCGACUGAGUGAAGUUGGCGGACCGACAGCGAUGCUCCAAACUCCGGCUCUGCUCGAACCGCGAACUUCUUUGGAACGCGUACUAAUGAGCUGAUUCUGUGCCUCCUGUUACUUCGCUUCUGAAUGUAACCGGAAGUCAGUAAUGUCUGCAGGCCUGCAGAUGUUCUGCAGUUGCAUUAUCUGCCCUGCUAUGUGCCCUUUUGCUCUGGAUUUCUUCUCCCUUUUAGGACAGGGUGUCCUUUAGUUGGCAAAAAAAAGGACACAAUUGAUUAAGUUAUUCCAAGUAGAGUUAAUACUUUGUAGGUUACAAGGAUCCUGGAUACUGAAUAUGACAAAGACCUACUGCUCUAAGAACUUGCAGUCAACUGCAUGUUUAACAAUACUAUGGGCUUUUUUUAAUGCCUUGUAAAAACACAAGGAGUGGAACUGUAUGUCAUUUGUUAUCGUAAGUCAAAUAGUGGGCUCCCUUCGAGUAUGGAAAGUUGGCUUUCUUGGGAGUGUUCCCAUGGAGAUAGGCACACUUCCUGUCUCAGCGUAGGAAUGAGGGAGUCUAGCUUUUCAGAACUGCUUACGCUCGCUCUUCUUUCUUCAAUUAUAUUAGUCGAGGUGACAUAUGAGGGAGUGAUCUAUUAACACCACAAUCGGGAGUUACUCUGUGCUCAUUUUGGUCAGUUUUCUUUAAAGAGUUAUUUUGUUGCAGGACCAGAACCUGGCCUUCCACUUGCAAAUCAAAUGAGCAAUUGGGGCUCUAAAAUGAAACAUUUUGCCUGUUUUUUUUCAUGGGACAAAGUACUCCUGAACUCUGGGAGUUAGUUAGCUCUGUUAAUCAGUGUAUAGGUGACAUGGUUGACUUGUUCUGUUACUGCACAUUUCGUGCCUGGAAUCCGGCCUCUGUGCUUGAAUAAGAAAAUGAGAGCAUAAAAGUACGACCUCUAACAAGGUCAGAAACCUUUCGCUCAUCUGAUCAUUGCUUAGGGCAUGUGUUUGUUCCAAUAAGAAAGAGAUGAAGUGUAGAGAACAAAUACGUGAAUAGAAAUGUGCAUGUGUGUUGUUCUAUAGAGAGAAAGGACAAAAACUUUUCAUUUUUCUUUGUUAUUUAUUAACAUACCUGGUGGUUAUUUGUUACUUGGCUACAGCUACAGAUUAAACUUGGUUUGCGGUCACAGAAGUCAGAUUUAUAACCUUUGCCUUUUAAUAGGUGAUGGCAAUAUGAGCAUAAAUGUAAGGAAGUUACAGUAGAGAAAUGUGGUUUGAGAAUGAUUUAAGCAAGAAUGCUUUGAUGAGGAGGCAAGAAUCAAUAAAAAUGGUCCACACAUAUCAGAAAGUACAGGGAGAUCACAGGAGUCGGACCAUCGGUCUCAUAACCCAGCAUUAUUUAUGGUUCUUAACUUUUACCACACAUUCAUCAUUUUCUUUGAUCUGUGCAUCUGUUUGAUAUUGCUACGGUUAAAGGGAUAGAAACGGAUAAAAUAAGCAAAAAAGUAAGUUUAGGACAGAGGGUGUUGAACUUUUGCACAAAUAGCAUUGAAUCUCUGUGACCUUGAUGUGCCUUUGCUGCAUGUACAAUAAGCUUGGACAAUUAAAGGAAUGAAACAGAGGAGCGCAAGGCGAGCUCUAAUGAAGGACACAGUACAGAAGAAUUAGUUUGCAAUACCAUUGACACUAAGGUUAGUUGUGGCACCAAUCAGAGUAAGAGCACACUUGAGGAAGCAGUGGGUCUCUGGAGUCUGCUUCCUCCUCUUUUUCUCCUUCACCCCUCCCCCUCUGCUGUACUGUGUGCUAUACGGUUGCCAAGUGCUAAGAAUCUGCGGAAUGUGAGUUUGCAGUGUUCUGAUAAAGUUUGCUUUGUUCCUGCCAUGCCCUGAACACUGGGAGGGAUAUGAGACCCUGGGAGUUUCACUGAAGCACUGUAACACACAGACGCACACACAGAAUCUGUCCAACAAGCCCGCUCUCAUGUGUGCCUCAUUCGGGUGAUUCGGCACACAGCGGACAAACAGCUGUCAGAUGUACAGUGUAUAUAAGGUGCUAUAAACAUAUUAACUAGUAUUAUUUUAGACACAAACACUUUUUUUUAAACAACCACUUUGUCCCAACUGUACACUGUUAAUAAUAGCAUCUGUAAGGUUUCCCAAAAGACUCAUUAUCUACACUAAGUGAAUUUGUUAUUCGAUUUUCCAUGCACAAGGAAUUGUAUGUGAUUAUUAUGAGCAACAUUGUAAGAAUAUU